AAUAUUGACGUGGGUCAAAUAGAAAUAUGAACUUUCUCAGUUUCUCUCACUCCUCCUUAAACUCAAGCGCACUGCUCGCCAUUCUCAUAUUGUUGUUCUUCUUUUUCUUUCUUAUCAGUGGGUCUCUCUGGAACCCGCAUGCCCAGAGCUUGCAGCUUGUAAGGUCCGAUGGGUUCGUCUACCAGAAUUGGCUUGGUGACGCUGACUCCAUCCGUAUUGAACCCUUCUAUGAUCCUGUAUGCCCCAAUAACAGAGAUUCUUGGCCUCCUCCCUUUACUAGAUGGGGAAUUGAUGCGUCAUAGCAAGGGAGUAAUUUGGAUUAAGCGGGAAAAUGGAAGUAUGAGCAUCGCAAUUGGGUUGCUUUUGUUGAAGACAUUGUGUCCCUGAUUAUGAUUAGUUUUGAAUAUACCAUGACAAUGCGUUUGUCGCUUCUUUUGCUCUGCAUAUUGCAAAUCUGGUGAGCACUUAUUCUACAAUUCCCCUUGUUAGAGCAGUUCUAUGAGCAUCAGUUUUGAUGGGCCCACCUUUAAUUGAGCAAUCUUAGAGAGACAAGUGGAAGUGGUCUUACCUCCCUAUUGACAACUUGACUUACCGCCCUGCAAGAAAUGGAAAGUGUGAAUUCAACAUGUUUUGUAUUAGGUAGCUCAUUACCAUGAAAGCUAUGGUGGCUUCAGCUGCGUGCACUUUAAAUCUGGAAGUGGUGGAAUUGUUCUUGGGAAUCACUUACCCUGCCAUUUGUGCAGCAGCUCAAUAUUAUUAAUAUACAUCCUUUUUUCAGUUGCUAGACAAAAUAACAUCCAGUUUCAGCAGGCUGUUUAUGAGAAAAUUCUCCUCCAGUAUCUUUUAUGUCUCCCCUAGAAGCUUCCUUGCCAAACACUACCACAUUAAAGACCAAGAUGUCUUGUGCUAAAAUUGGCUUUUCAUUCCUAGAAAAAAAACUCAAAUCUUUGUUAGGCUGGAUGUUAAUUGUUGAUUAAGUUCACAAAAUCCAUCAGCAGCUGAAAAGAAUAUGGAGCUACCCGUUAGUUUUAAUUACACGAAUUUAGUUGUGUUUCUAGUUUUUACAGCAAUUUGAGUUUGCUAUGUUGACUAACUUCUUGUACUUGUAUGUGCUAAUAUCAGGAGAGGUUCUAUAAUGCUGAAAGAAACAACUGUUCAAGAGCUUAUGUUGAAAAAGAAAUCGUGAAAUUUGCCACUGUAACAGUUGGGAACUCUUAUUGUUCUGCAAUUGAAUCUAGCUUUAAUGACAGAAAAACUGAUCUUAAAACAAGAGUUUCUUUCUAGUAUAGUGUUUCAAGAGGAGUAUUUGGCACACGCCUAAUUUCUAUAUCAAUGGAUUUGCAUUGCCUGAUUCUGGCUCCACCAUAGAUUAUACUGGCUGGAGAAGUAUCAUCGAUCCACUGAUUAAAGCAAAGAGGGGCAAAAGUGGGGAUCCUCUGCAUUUAUUACUGUGAAGAUCUUAGCUUGCAAGAUCUCAAUUUGUUUGCAAUUUGCAAUUUGCAAUAUAUAUCAUCAGAAGCGUAUACUAUUGGUGAUGAAUUUGUGAUAAUGCGAUAAAACGUUUUCAGUAAUUUUUGCCAACUGUUGACUUCCAACCAAGUGGAUUCAGGUACACUGGGACGCCGAGUAGAAGAAUGGGUUAGGUUGACUAACCUAAGCCGUUGUUUAUAGCAAACCAACGAAUCUUCCUGCCAGUUUUAACUUAUUGUAAAACACAUUCUCUUCUUUUCUUCCCUGAGUUCACUCUGUAUAAGGCUAGCGAUGUUCAUGUAACAUUGGGCUUUGCUAAUUAGAAUCUCCAUUUUAUCAAGAA